UCAUCCAUCAUCGCACUAUAAACGGUUUAGUUUCCUAAGCUAAAAAGCAAACAAACAUUUCCCAGAGUCAGCAUUAAAAAAACAAACCUGGCACAAGAAGACCUGAGAACCAAGAACAAGAAGAACAACAAGAACAACAACGGCUGUCUGAGAUGCCAGACAUAUUUCAAGAUAAUGAAUGAGGUCUUGUUGAUAAAACUCCACUGCCAGAUCAACUGCCCUCUCUCACAUGUGAACCUAGCACCUGCUUAUCUCAAGAUCUGUAAGUUAUUACACACGCCGAGAAGACACAGUUGAUAGUAUUCACCAUUCUCUCUGACAGCACCAGGUUUUGUCUACGAUGGUAUUCAAAGUGAUUUUGGUAGUUUUUCUGCUCACCUUGUCAGGCAUCAAUACCGUAACUUCCGAAGGUAAGUGGACCUUAUUCUAUACAAGAUACAGUAGUGAAAAAAAACUUAAAUACUGCAAACCGAU